rnacentral:rRNA from 1 species
AGUCUGCAACCCGACUACAUGAAGCUGGAAUCGCUAGUAAUCGCGAAUCAGAAUGUCGCGGUGAAUACGUUCCCGGGUCUUGUACACACCGCCCGUCAAACCAUGAGAGUCACCAACACCCGAAGUCCGCCUUGGCGGCCUAAGGUGGGGGAGAUGAUUGGGGUUAAGUCGUAACAAGGUACC